UGAGUAACCUGCCCUUAACUCUGGGAUAAGCCUGGGAAACUGGGUCUAAUACCGGAUAUGACUCCUCAUCGCAUGGUGGGGGGUGGAAAGCUUUUUGUGGUUUUGGAUGGACUCGCGGCCUAUCAGCUUGUUGGUGAGGUAAUGGCUCACCAAGGCGAUGACGGGUAGCCGGCCUGAGAGGGUGACCGGCCACACUGGGACUGAGACACGGCCCAGACUCCUACGGGAGCAG
rnacentral:rRNA from 1 species